rnacentral:rRNA from 1 species
ACUCCUACGGGAGGCAGCAGUGGGGAAUAUUGCACAAUGGGCGCAAGCCUGAUGCAGCCAUGCCGCGUGAGUGAUGAAGGCCCUAGGGUUGUAAAGCUCUUUCACCGGUGAAGAUAAUGACGGUACCGCAAGAAUAAGCCCCGGCUAACUUCGUGCCAGCAGCCGCGGUAAU